rnacentral:rRNA from 1 species
CAAUGGCCGGCGUCUUACCAUGCAAGUCGAACGGUGAACACGGAGCUUGCUCUGUGGGAUCAGUGGCGAACGGGUGAGUAACACGUGAGCAACCUGCCCCUGACUCUGGGAUAAGCGCUGGAAACGGCGUCUAAUACUGGAUAUGUGACGUGACCGCAUGGUCUGCGUCUGGAAAGAAUUUCGGUUGGGGAUGGGCUCGCGGCCUAUCAGCUUGUUGGUGAGGUAAUGGCUCACCAAGGCGUCGACGGGUAGCCGGCCUGAGAGGGUGACCGGCCACACUGGGACUGAGACACGGCCCAGACUCCUACGGGAGGCAGCAGUGGGGAAUAUUGCACAAUGGGCGCAAGCCUGAUGCAGCAACGCCGCGUGAGGGACGACGGCCUUCGGGUUGUAAACCUCUUUUAGCAGGGAAGAAGCGAAAGUGACGGUACCUGCAGAAAAAGCGCCGGCUAACUACGUGCCAGCAGCCGCGGUAAUACGUAGGGCGCAAGCGUUAUCCGGAAUUAUUGGGCGUAAAGAGCUCGUAGGCGGUUUGUCGCGUCUGCUGUGAAAUCCGGAGGCUCAACCUCCGGCCUGCAGUGGGUACGGGCAGACUAGAGUGCGGUAGGGGAGAUUGGAAUUCCUGGUGUAGCGGUGGAAUGCGCAGAUAUCAGGAGGAACACCGAUGGCGAAGGCAGAUCUCUGGGCCGUAACUGACGCUGAGGAGCGAAAGGGUGGGGAGCAAACAGGCUUAGAUACCCUGGUAGUCCACCCCGUAAACGUUGGGAACUAGUUGUGGGGUCCAUUCCACGGAUUCCGUGACGCAGCUAACGCAUUAAGUUCCCCGCCUGGGGAGUACGGCCGCAAGGCUAAAACUCAAAGGAAUUGACGGGGACCCGCACAAGCGGCGGAGCAUGCGGAUUAAUUCGAUGCAACGCGAAGAACCUUACCAAGGCUUGACAUAUACGAGAACGGGCCAGAAAUGGUCAACUCUUUGGACACUCGUAAACAGGUGGUGCAUGGUUGUCGUCAGCUCGUGUCGUGAGAUGUUGGGUUAAGUCCCGCAACGAGCGCAACCCUCGUUCUAUGUUGCCAGCACGUAAUGGUGGGAACUCAUGGGAUACUGCCGGGGUCAACUCGGAGGAAGGUGGGGAUGACGUCAAAUCAUCAUGCCCCUUAUGUCUUGGGCUUCACGCAUGCUACAAUGGCCGGUACAAAGGGCUGCAAUACCGCGAGGUGGAGCGAAUCCCAAAAAGCCGGUCCCAGUUCGGAUUGAGGUC